rnacentral:misc_RNA from 1 species
AACGGUCUAUACCUGCGGUACCUGCGGAAGGAUCAUUAAAGAAACUAGGGGAUGUGCUGGCUUUAAGCAUGUGCACUCCUCAACUCUCAUCCUAUCCACCUGUGCACACCCUGUAGGCAGAAAUGGGGAAAUUAAUUUUGUUCUUGGAACAAAAGUUAUCUUAUUCACUGCCUAUGUUUUUUACACACACCAAGUAAAGUUGAAGCAUGUGAAAUAUAUUAUACAACUUUUAACAAUGGA